AAAAGUCUAGUUUAAAAAAAACAUUAGUUAGUCAAACUUAAGUUGCUUUAUUAAAAGUGUCUUUUU
rnacentral:tRNA from 1 species